CAUAAUCACGUUGAAGCACCGGUUCCAGUAGGAUCAAUGAAGUUAAACAACGUAGACUUUGGUCAGUACUUAGAUGGGUGACCGCUUGGGAAUACCAUGUGCUGCAAGC